rnacentral:rRNA from 1 species
CGAUAACGAACGAGACCUUAACCUGCUAAAUAGUUGCAUCCACUUUGGUGGACGUUCAACUUCUUAGAGGGACUAUCGACGACUAGUCGAUGGAAGUUUGAGGCAAUAACAGGUCUGUGAUGCCCUUAGAUGUUCUGGGCCGCACGCGCGCUACACUGACAAAGGCAACGAGUUUUUCCUUGGCCGGAAGGUCUGGGUAAUCUUUUGAAACUUUGUCGUGCUGGGGAUAGUCCUUUGCAAUUAUUGCUCUUCAACGAGGAAUUCCUAGUAAGCGCAAGUCAUCAACUUGCGUUGAUUACGUCCCUGCCCUUUGUACACACCGCCCGUCGCUACUACCGAUUGAAUG